rnacentral:rRNA from 1 species
UACAGAGGGUGCGAGCGUUGUCCGGAAUCACUGGGCGUAAAGGGCGCGUAGGCGGCUUGAUAAGCGUGCGGUGAAAGCCCGGGGCUCAACCCCGGGUCGGCCGUGCGAACUGUCGAGCUGGAGCACUGUAGAGGCAGGUGGAAUUCCGGGUGUAGCGGUGGAAUGCGUAGAGAUCCGGAAGAACACCGGUGGCGAAGGCGGCCUGCUGGGCAGUUUUGCUGACACUGAGGCGCGACAGCGUGGGGAGCAAACAGG